GGAACCCAAGUAUUGGUCUUCUUACCCACAAGGUUCUCUCACUGGGCCCAGUAAAAGCCAAAGGAAUAAAAGAUUACAUCAAUGCAAUUUUAAAUAAUUGUUUUCUGACAUUUUUCUAACCACGUUCUCUCCCUCCUCUCUCUUCUCUCCUCCACAAGACGUCAGAAAAUAAAUGUUUUCUAGUUGAAAAAUCACAAACCACAAUCACAACAAAAAAAGAUCAGAAGAUGUGCUGCAGUGGAGAAGUAGUAUCCUGAUUUCAGAAAAGAGGAGUGAAGUCUACAAAUUGGUCAUUGUGUCUAACUAUGGUUCCUGACACAAUUUUAGGACAGAGCUUAUAAUUAAAUUGAACUAACCAAAAGGUUUAUAACACAAUAAAUGUGUUGAUUGACUUUUA